rnacentral:rRNA from 1 species
AGCAGUAGCCACGGGAAUACGUAGGUGGCAAGCGUUGUCCGGAAUUAUUGGGCGUAAAGCGCGCGCAGGCGGUUUCUUAAGUCUGAUGUGAAAGCCCCCGGCUUAACCGGGGAGGGUCAUUGGAAACUGGGAGACUUAGAGUGCAGAAGAGGAGAGUGGAAUUCCAUGUGUAGCGGUGAAAUGCGUAGAUAUAUGGAGGAACACCAGUGGCGAAGGCGACUCUCUGGUCUGUAACUGACGCUGAGGCGCGAAAGCGUGGGGAGCAAACAGGAUUAGAUACCCCAGUAGUCCCUGUCUCUUAUA